rnacentral:misc_RNA from 1 species
GUGGAAGGGGGCUUGCUCCCGAUGGCAGAGUGUCAGUCACUGAAUGGGUAACUGAACUAUCGCUAUCGGGAGCAAGCCCCCUCCCAC